rnacentral:misc_RNA from 1 species
AUGUUACUUUUUUUUUUUUAUCAAAAGUUUGAAUCUUUUGAUUAGUGGACUUAUUCAUUUUGAAUAUAGUAGUAGAAAUCAGAAGUAUCCUAGUUGUAUACAUGCCAUGAUCAUGGUCUUGGUAGAAACAUAUUACAAUUGCUUUUCUUUCCUCCUUUUUUCUUUUUUUGGGUCAUGAUUUUGUUCUUGUUUGUUUGUUUUAUUGUCAUUGAUAGUUGAUUGAAGUUUUUGUGUUUGAAUAUUUUAAACAGGCUGCAACCAGAAUCUCUAGUC